rnacentral:lncRNA from 1 species
ACUCACACACUCAGAUGAAUGAGCAAGGAAGGGGGAGACCUCAACAGCCCCUUUAGACGUGGGGCUGAAUUGAUGGGAUUGUGAUUUGUAGGAUUUCUCCACUUAGUCCCUGCCUCCUACUUGCUCUCCAGCCACUCCAAAGUCUCUUCCCCUCUCUUUAAGCAGCGAUUUCUUUCAAUCUCUCUCUCUCCCUCCCUGUGUCUCUCUCCCUCACACUCUCCCUCUCUCUCCACAUACACUCAUCUCCCCGGAGAGAGAGAGAGAGGAGAAACUCAACUCCCAAACACCGACCAGAUGUCGAAGAAACGCAAAGCCCUGGAGGGUGGCGGAGCCCGGCUCCCCCCCGAGGACCCCAGAGCCUGCUUUGGGGCCGGCGAGGAGCAAGGGUAAAAGUUCAGGGCCAGUACAGAGUCUAUAUGGAAAAACAGAGCCUUCGCAUCAGAUUUACCGUAUGGGCUGCCUAAAGUAACUAUUUUGAAGUCAUCUUUGGAACGCUAGAGCCUGAUAUGCUCAUCCUGGUUUCUGUCACCUUCUCCAAAGGAAGGGAAGGACAAACAGGGAAGUUUUGCCCACCUGCUCCCUGCCAGGUGGGCUGAUGGAGUCUGGUGAUGGUGUGAGCUAGCCUAGUCUCUCAGAUGACUACAUGGCAUCCUGAAAAUGGAUCCCUAGAUGUGAACACUUGACAGGACUGUAAAUGUGACUGUAGAGUGAAGGCAUCCAAGUAAGUUUUCGAGCGACAGAUACAGGUUGCUGUGGCCUCUUAGCCAAGAAAAGAAGUAAGGCUGGGUUCUGUGUUUCACUGUUCUGAGUUGAAUGCCUAAGUUACUUUCUCAAUACAUAAGUGCAUUUAAAAAGUUCCAGGGUUCUUCAGAAGCUUUGUAAUUUCAAACUGUUGUGUAUAAACACAAAGGCAUUUAUUAAGUGUAUCUAUAAAAGGUAAAAACCCUAUUGAAGGAGAACCAAAGAAAUUGCAAGCCAGAAUUAAUAAAUCAUAUGAAUGUUGACCUCUGUACGUGUUA